rnacentral:lncRNA from 1 species
AGCAUUUCUCCACCAAAGCAUGACUCCAUGACUCGGUAGAUGAAAUGAAAUGUGGCCAGAAGCGUCGUGUGCUAUCUCGUGUUUGACUCUCUACCUGCUCUUCCCCUGCAGUGGUAAUCAUGGGAGCAUGUAUAUUUACGGAGGUGUCAUAAGAUCAAACAGCCUGGAAGGAAGAGCCAAUGCCUGAAAAACAGCUGCUGUGAAGAGCUGCACAUUUUCUGCAUAAAUGGUGAAAUCUUUUGUUUCCUGUCGCACUCCUUAGUAGACCCUUUCAAAAAAUCUCACAGGUGGAAUUCAACAUAUCCCUUCCACAGGAGGUCAUCCCAAUCCAAAAUAUUUAGACUUUGCACAGUUCGGUUAAAUCUUUUUUCUCCAAUUUCUAAAUCUUAAUACUAUAUUAAAAUUGUUUCUUCAUA